rnacentral:rRNA from 1 species
AUGUUCCCAGACAGCUCUCUCUCGUCCUCUACUAGGUCGACCUCUGACCACGUUCCAAUCUGCCUAUCGGCUGCUACUCAAAUCCCGAAGCCCUCUGUCUUUCGUUUUAACAACUCUCUUCUGAGCAACAAUUUAUUUAAGCUUCGGGUUUCGUCCAAUUGGGCAAGUGUUGGGCCGCGACAUUGCCACUUGGGUUUGGUGGGCAAGCUUUCUCUUCGGAUCAAGAGAACCAGAGACAUGGCGAAAAAAUGGGCGGCUACCUCCAGAUCUCCUACUGUUCUGGCAAACUGCAAUACUACCAUCAAUCUCCUUGACAAGUUGGAGGAAUUUCGACCUCUAUCCACUAUUGAACUGAACCUUACGACUGCGGCAAAACUUGCCCUUCAUCGCCUGAAUGCUACCAUUGCUGGGUACUGGAGGCAACGGGCCAAGAUUAGGGACUGUGUUCUCGGCCAUGAAAACUCGGCCUACCUUCAUGUUUGUGCCUCUGUUAGGUAUCGCAAAAACCAAAUCAAAUCUCUGACGGUUGCCGACUCUUCUUUUUCCGCUCAUGCCGAUAAAGAGCUGAUCCUUCUCAAUUUCUUCAAAGGCUUGGUUGGUACGCCAUCACCUUGCAACUUCACCUUUGACCUUGAGGGAGUAUUAGCGAACUCUUCCCUCCCUCCGAGCCUUGCUUCGGACCUGAUUAAGCUUUUCUCCCUUGACGAGAUUAAGGGUGCCCUCUGGGCUAUGGACGACAACGCUAGUCCGGGACGUGACGGGUUUGGUCCCGCUUUCUUCAAAUCUAACUGGGAUUUAGUUAAAACGGAUCUGUACAACCUCAUGUCGGAUUUUCACUCUGGUUCCGCUGACCUGAGGCGCAUCAAUAGGGCGUUCAUCGUGCUGCUUCCCAAAAAAUGGGAGCCAACCAUCCAGAGGAUUACCGUCCAAUCUCCCUCCAGAACUGUGCGGUCAAAAUUGCUUCCAAAUGUCUUGCUAACAGGAUCCAACCCCUUAUGCCUUUUUUAA